UCCGAUGUAGUCUAGUGGUUAUGAUUUGCGGCUCUCACCCUCAAGGCCCGGGUUCGAUCCCCGGCAUCGGAA
rnacentral:tRNA from 1 species